rnacentral:rRNA from 1 species
GCCAAGCAGCCGCGGUAAUUCCAGCUCCAAUAGCGUAUAUUAAAGUUGUUGCGGUUAAAAAGCUCGUAGUUGGAUCUCGGCGGGCAGGGGGUGGUUCGCUCUUCAGCGCUACUGCCCCGCUUUGCCCGUGUGAUUGGCGGAGGUUUCGGGGUGCUCUUCGUUGAGUGACUCGGAGCGCCGUCAGGUUUACUUUGAAAAAAUUAGAGUGCUCAAAGCAGGCUUUUCACGCUUGAAUAUUCGUGCAUGGAAUAAUGGAAUAGGAACUCGUUUCUAUUUUGUUGGUUUUCGGAAAUCGAGUUAAUGAUUAACAGGGACAAUUGGGGGCAUUAGUAUUCAGACGACAGAGGUGAAAUUCUUGGACCGUCUGAAGACUGACUACUGCGAAAGCAUUUGCCAAGAGUGUUUUCAUUAAUCAAGAACGAAAGUUAGAGGUUCGAAGGCGAUCAGAUACCGCCCUAGUUCUAACCAUAAACGAUGCCAGCUAGCGAUCUGCCGAGUUUUUUUUGUAGGCUCCGCAGGAAGCUUUCGGGAAACCAAAGCUUUUGGGUUCCGGGGGAAGUAUGGUUGCAAAGCUGAAACUUAAAGGAAUUGACGGAAGGGCACCACCAGGAGUGGAGCCUGCGGCUUAAUUUGACUCAACACGGGAAAUCUCACCAGGCCCGGACACUGGAAGGAUUGACAGAUUGAGAGCUCUUUCUCGAUUCGGUGGGUGGUGGUGCAUGGCCGUUCUUAGUUGGUGGAGUGAUUUGUCUGGUUAAUUCCGAUAACGAACGAGACUCUGUCCUGCUAAAUAGUUGGGUCGUCCUUCGUGCGAUCCAAGUUCUUCUUAGAGGGACUGGCUGCGUCUAGCAGCACGAGAUUGAGCAAUAACAGGUCUGUGAUGCCC